CUACGGAGGGUGCAAGCGUUAAUCGGAAUUACUGGGCGUAAAGCGCGCGUAGGCGGUUUGGUAAGUCGGAUGUGAAAGCCCCGGGCUCAACCUGGGAAUUGCAUUCGAUACUGCCAGACUAGAGUAUGCUAGAGGGAAGUGGAAUUCCGGGUGUAGCUGUGAAAUGCGUAGAUAUCCGGAGGAACACCAGUGGCGAAGGCGACUUCCUGGACCAAUACUGACGCUGAGGUGCGAAAGCGUGGGGAGCAAACAGAAUUAGAAACCCUAGUAGUCC
rnacentral:rRNA from 1 species